UUGAGGAGCAUUGACUCAGUGAGGAGAAGAGGUUUGUUUGAAACAGGCCGCAAUGGAGAGACCAGCGCCCAGGGAAGCGAGGGAACAGCAGGGUCCUUCCAGCAGCGCAUCGAGAUGAAAAUACUUGCAGGAACAAGACAAUGUAAUACUUGGCCAAUACAAAGCUAAGGGUAACCAGCUGCUUCUAACAAACAACAGAAAAACACUUGAAGGACCAAGACAAAGUAAGAUUUCUUCAGUACAACGGCAAGUGUGACCAGAUCCUUCUGACAAACAGCAGAGAUGGAGCUAAGACAAGCCAGGGAACUUCCAGCCAGUGAGCCUAACAUCAUCAGUAAGCAAGUUAUUGGAGAGGAUACCGAUUGACAGGAUCAAUGAACACAGUCAAGGUAUGAUUAUGGAUAGUCAUCACGGAUUUGUGUGCGGGAAGGCACAUCUGACAAAUUUUUGAGCAUUUCAAAGAGGGAACCAAGUGGAGGGCAGUGGAUGUACUCAGUAUGGACUUUAG